rnacentral:misc_RNA from 1 species
GAUGAAGAACGUAGCGAAAUGCGAUACUUGGUGUGAAUUGCAGAAUCCCGUGAACCAUCGAGUCUUUGAACGCAAGUUGCGCCCGAAGCCAUUAGGCCGAGGGCACGCCUGCCUGGGCGUCACACGUCGUUGCCCCCCCAUCUACUCCUUCGGGAUUGCGGGGGGCGGAUGAUGGCCUCCCGUGCGCCUCGUCGCGCGGUUGGCAUAAAUGCCAAGUCCUCGGCGACGCACGCCACGACAAUCGGUGGUUGCGAAACCUCGGUUGCCCGUCGUGUGCGGUCGUCGCGCAUCGAGGGCUCGAAAAAAUUGUCGGGCUCCGGCUCGGCUUUCAACGCGACCCCAGGUCAGGCGGGGUUUCCCGCUGAAUUUAAGCAUAUCAAUAAGCGGAGGA